rnacentral:rRNA from 1 species
UACGUAGGGGGGCUAGCGUUGUCCGGAAUCAUUGGGCGUAAAGCGCGCGUAGGCGGUUACUUAAGUUGGAUGUGAAAGCCCUCGGCUUAACUGAGGAAGUGCAUCCAAAACUGAGUAGCUAGAGUACGAAAGAGGGUCGCGGAAUUCCCGGUGUAGAGGUGAAAUUCGUAGAUAUCGGGAGGAACACCUGCGGCGAAGGCGGGUUGCUGGGCUGAUACUGACGCUGAGGCGCGAAAGCCAGGGGAGCGAACGGG